GCGAAUACCGGAGAAUGUUAUCACGGGAGACACACGGCGGGUGCUAACGUCCGUCGUGAAGAGGGAAACAACCCAGACCGCCAGCUAAGGUCCCAAAGUCAUGGUUAAGUGGGAAACGAUGUGGGAAGGCCCAGACAGCCAGGAUGUUGGCUUAGAAGCAGCCAUCAUUUAAAGAAAGCGUAAUAGCUCACUGGUCGAGUCGGCCUGCGCGGAAGAUGUAACGGGGCUAAACCAUGCACCGAAGCUGCGGCAGCGACACUGUGUGUUGUUGGGUAGGGGAGCGUUCUGUAAGCCUGUGAAGGUGGCCUGUGAGGGUUGCUGGAGGUAUCAGAAGUGCGAAUGCUGACAUAAGUAACGAUAAAGCGGGUGAAAAGCCCGCUCGCCGGAAGACCAAGGGUUCCUGUCCAACGUUAAUCGGGGCAGGGUGAGUCGACCCCUAAGGCGAGGCCGAAAGGCGUAGUCGAUGGGAAACGGGUUAAUAUUCCCGUACUUGGUGUUACUGCGAAGGGGGGACGGAGAAGGCUAUGUUGGCCGGGCGACGGUUGUCCCGGUUUAAGCGUGUAGGUGUGUGUUCCAGGUAAAUCCGGUU
rnacentral:rRNA from 3 species